AAAACGGUAGUGUAGAGGUUUGAAUGUCGGACUAGAACUCUGGAGACCAGGGUUUGAAUCCCUGCUCCACUA